AUUGAACGCUGGCGGCAGGCCUAACACAUGCAAGUCGAACGAGUGGCGGACGGGUGAGUAAUGUCUGGGAAACUGCCUGAUGGAGGGGGAUAACUACUGGAAACGGUAGCUAAUACCGCAUACCCUCAGAUGUGCCCAGAUGGGAGUAGCUUGGUGGGGGGGUAAAGGCUCACCAAGGCGACGAUCCCUAGCUGGUCUGAGAGGAUGAACAGCCACACUGGAACUGAGACACGUGCCAGACUCCUACGGGAGGCAGCAGUGGGGAAUAUUGGACAAUGGGCGAAAGCCUGAUCCAGCCAUGCCGCGUGUGUGAAGAAGGUCUUCGGGUUGUAAAGUACUUUCAGCGGGGAGGCGUUACCCGCAGAAGAAGCACCGGCUAACUCCGUGCCAGCAGCCGCGGUAAUAC
rnacentral:rRNA from 1 species